rnacentral:rRNA from 1 species
UACGAAGGGGGCUAGCGUUGCUCGGAAUCACUGGGCGUAAAGCGCACGUAGGCGGAUUUCUAAGUCAGGGGUGAAAUCCUGGAGCUCAACUCCAGAACUGCCUUUGAUACUGGGAAUCUUGAGUCCGGGAGAGGUGAGUGGAACUGCGAGUGUAGAGGUGAAAUUCGUAGAUAUUCGCAAGAACACCAGUGGCGAAGGCGGCUCACUGGCCCGGUACUGACGCUGAGGUGCGAAAGCGUGGGGAGCAAACAGG